CAUAUUUCAUGAUAGUGCAUUGAUGGGCGUGUCCGGUCCAUAUCUUUGUCAUUCAUGCAUGGAUUUUGAAAUUAUUGGGCAUGAAUGUGUACCACAGUAAGACGACAUGUCGCGCGCAAGACCCAGGUCCGUAGCUCAAAAGUCAAGGUCACACUUAGACGUUAAAGGUCAUAUUUCAUGACAGUGCAAUGAUGGGCAUGUCCGGUCCAUAUCUUUGUCAUUCAUGCAUGGAUUUUAAAAUAACUACCCAUGAAUGUGUGGCACAGUAAGACGACGUGUCGCGCGCAAGACCCAGGUCCGAGGUCAAAGGUCCUAAACUCUAACAUCGGCCAUAACUAUUCAUUCAAAGUGAAUGGGGGCAUGUGUCAUCCUAUGGAGACAGCUCUUGUUUAUCUUAUAAACUAUUGUAGUGACUUUCAAACAAUUGUUAACCUCAUCCAGAUGACAUGCAGAGUGCACAACACAGAUCACUAGAACAAAGGUCGCACUGAGGUCAAAUAUGUAUCUGUUCCAUAUCUUUUUAACUUCUGGAAAGAUUUUUUUCAAAACAGGCACCAAUUGUUAUCCUCAUCAAGACAAAAUGCUGAGUAUACAAUCAAGGUUACAAGGUCAAGGUUACACUUGAAGGGACGAGAUCAGGCUUGAAGGUCAAAGGUCAUGAUCACAAUAUGUUUUCCUUGCCAUGUAUCAAAGUGACAUUUGGGGUUAUAAGUCACCUAGUUUGAGUUGCUUCAGUUUGUAAACAGUAGAAUAAAUUUAACAUUGAUCAGAGAUUUAAGAAUGUUUCAUGAAUUGUGAAGUAAGCUUUCUGACUGGUUGUGAUGAAGACAAGUUCUCUAUAAGCAACCAGUAAUGAAGUACGAGAAGAUUUAUUUGUAAGCUUGUUUACUGCUGAAUGAAGAUAGAUGUACUUAAGCUGUAAUAACGUUAGCUCUUAAAUGUUUUAAUACCAGUAUUACCAGGGCCUUUUUCAGCUAAUUGUGAAGAGGCCCUAGCUGUUUUGUUUUGUGAAAAGCAAGCAUGAUUCCCUUGGAAAUUAUGAAGUUUUAGAAUUAUUUUCCUAGAACUGAAAAGCGCGAUGGAUUUGCAUCCAUCUAAAACAAUCUGAAAGUACUUCUGAAUGAUCAGGAGUAUUUGUCUUUAAAAUGAUAUUAUUUUUUAACAAAUUCUACUUAUUAGACUAGCAGAUAGCAUUAGAUUUUUUUCUUUUGGUUUGUAGAAAUAAAUGAAUCAUUUAUAUAAAAUGAUUGCAAAAUGUCUUGUUGAGAGAUAAUCUCAUUAUCACACACAAGUAACCAGUAAAGAAGUGAGAUGUGAUGACGAGGCUUUAGCCUCCAUUUCAGUAGGAUACAUACCGGUAUAUUAUAUCUGCAUGAAGAUAGUUAAGAGAAUAUAAAUCCGGUAUGCAGAAUCAGGAACGGAAUACAGUUGAAACUCGCUAUCUUGAACCCCCUUAUCUCAAGCAUCCAGCUAUCUUGGAGACAUUUUCAAGUCCUGUCUUGAAAACAUGUGUACAAAUCAUUUUAAGUCAAAGUUUGGUUAUCUGGAAGUAAAAAAUCUGAUCCCUUGGAAUUCAAUAUACGGAAUUUCAACUGUUUAAAAUAAGGAUCACUUUCCUAUAGUUAAGUUGCUGUUUUAUAUAGUCUGGGCUAUUCUACUCACCCUGGCAUCGGCAUCAGGGUCACACCUUGGUUAAAGUUUUGCAUGCAAGUACAUAAUAGCUUUCAUUUAAAGGCAUAUAACUUUGAAUCUUAUUUUUUUCUUUUUCUAGGUCAAUUACCAACCUCACUGGGUCAAGUCCCAUAAGUUUGACAUGUAUUUGGCCAAUAUUCCCCCUUUUCUCCAAAACUAAUGCAGAUAUCAUAUGUGUCUUCAGGGUUAUAAAACUAGGUGAUGGCAUCAAGUCCUGUAACUCUGACAUUUAUUUUGGCCAAAUUAUGCCCACUUUUGGUAAUAUUCCUGCUUGUGGGACAACAAUUUGAAUAGUCAAGCAUUGGCUGUCUUACGGACAGCUCUUGUUUAUCUUCAAAAUUAUGCAUGGUAAUUACUGCUAUCGUCAUUUGUGUAUUUAAUAACAACUUCAUUAAUUAACAUUAAAUUGAAAUUGUGAUAUACUUGAAAAUGUUCCUUAUAUAUAAAUCAGUUUAUUUUAAAAAAGUAGAUGUUACUUCCAUAAUUGUGCUCAGAAAUCUUGUUCCAGUAACUGUCUCAUUUUUCAGGUGUUGUUGCCUCCUUUUGGACUUAGAAAAUCCUGGUUAAAGUUUUACAUGCAACUUACUAUCUCCAAAACUAAUUCAGAUACAGAUUUGAAGUCUAGUGAUGUAAUUUUUAAAUUUUCAUCUGAAAGAAAGGAACCAGACAGCAUGAUAGGAUAUCUUUAGACAUUCAAAGAUUGGUAUCUACCAUUCUGUAGUGUACAGCUUUAAGUUAUCAUGCACAUUUCAGUUCGAAAGGUUGUUCUUUUAAAAUUUCAGCUGUCAUUCAGUGGAUUAGUUUGCUACUUGUAUUUGCUGCAGUCUCAACUUCCUGCUAAAAUUGUGAAAAGUGCUAAUGUAUUGUUUGUACACAAACACAGGAAAAUUUGUAUUGUAUUUCCUGUUGAAAAUACAACUUAUAGUCUGAAAUGUAUGCAACAUGUAUAUAUUUUAUGAUCCCAUUGUAUUUUAUAGACAUUUGAAUAAUUUGAGUGAUUCAUGACUAUAAUUAAAAUGUAAAGUAAA